CAGUAGCCGCGGGAAAACAGAGGGUGCGAGCGUUAAUCGGAUUUACUGGGCGUAAAGCGUGCGUAGGCGGCUUUUUAAGUCGGAUGUGAAAUCCCUGAGCUUAACUUAGGAAUUGCAUUCGAUACUGGGAAGCUAGAGUAUGGGAGAGGAUGGUAGAAUUCCAGGUGUAGCGGUGAAAUGCGUAGAGAUCUGGAGGAAUACCGAUGGCGAAGGCAGCCAUCUGGCCUAAUACUGACGCUGAGGUACGAAAGCAUGGGGAGCAAACAGGAUUAGAUACCCGUGUAGUCCCUGUCUCUUAUAC
rnacentral:rRNA from 1 species